UACGAAGGGGGCGAGCGUUGUUCGGAUUUACUGGGCGUAAAGGGCGCGCAGGCGGCUCAUUUUGUCAGGCGUGAAAGCCCCGGGCUUAACCUGGGAACUGCGUUUGAUACGGAUGGGCUAGAGUUCGGGAGAGGAGAGUGGAAUUCCCAGUGUAGAGGUGAAAUUCGUAGAUAUUGGGAAGAACACCAGUGGCGAAGGCGGCUCACUGGCCCGUUACCGACGCUCAGGCGCGACAGCGUGGGGGAGCAAACAGG
rnacentral:rRNA from 1 species